rnacentral:rRNA from 1 species
CCCUUAGAUGGUCUGGGCGGCACGCGCGCUACAAUGAUGCAUUGAAAAAGUCUUCUGACCUUAGAAGGUUGGGUAUUCUCCAAAGUGCAUCGUGAUGGGAAUAGUUUAUUGCAAUUUUUAAUCUUGAACGGGGAAUUCCUAUUAAGUACAGGUCAUCAACUUGUGUUGAUUACGUCCCUGCCCUUUGUACACACCGCCCGUCGCUCCUACUGAUUGAGUGUCUCGGUGAAUUCUUUGAUCUUCUGUCGAUUCAGUUCACUGAUCCGACGGUGGAAAGUUGAAUGAACUUCGUCACUUAGAGGAAGGAGAAGUCGUAACA